CACAUGCAAGUCGAGGGGUAACAGGGAUUGCUUGCAAUCCGCUGACGACCGGCGCACGGGUGCGUAACGCGUAUGCAACCUACCUUUUACAAGGGGAUAGCCCAGAGAAAUUUGGAAUAAUACCCUAUACGAUCAUUAAUUGGCAUCAGUUAAUGAAGAAAACUCCGGUGGUAAAAGAUGGGCAUGCGUCCUAUUAGUUAGUUGGUAAGGUAACGGCUUACCAAGACUUCGAUAGGUAGGGGUCCUGAGAGGGAGAUCCCCCACACUGGUACUGAGACACGGACCAGACUCCUACGGGAGGCAGCAGUGAGGAAUAUUGGACAAUGGAGGCAACUCUGAUCCAGCCAUGCCGCGUGCAGGAAGACGGCCCUACGGGUUGUAAACUGCUUUUAUACAGGAAGAACUAUAUCUACGUGUAGAUAUUUGACGGUACUGUACGAAUAAGGAUCGG
rnacentral:rRNA from 1 species